rnacentral:rRNA from 1 species
AGUGAACGCUGGCGGUAGGCCUAACACAUGCAAGUCGAACGGCAGCACAGGAGAGCUUGCUCUCUGGGUGGCGAGUGGCGGACGGGUGAGGAAUACAUCGGAAUCUGCCCAGUCGUGGGGGAUAACGUAGGGAAACUUACGCUAAUACCGCAUACGACCUUCGGGUGAAAGAGGGGGAUCGCAAGACCUCUCGCGAUUGGAUGAGCCGAUGUCGGAUUAGCUAGUUGGCGGGGUAAUGGCCCACCAAGGCGACGAUCCGUAGCUGGUCUGAGAGGAUGAUCAGCCACACUGGAACUGAGACACGGUCCAGACUCCUACGGGAGACAGCAGUGGGGAAUAUUGGACAAUGGGCGCAAGCCUGAUCCAGCCAUACCGCGUGGGUGAAGAAGGCCUUCGGGUUGUAAAGCCCUUUUGUUGGGAAAGAAAUCUUUCAGGCUAAUACCCUGGGAGGAUGACGGUACCCAAAGAAUAAGCACCGGCUAACUUCGUG